rnacentral:rRNA from 1 species
UGGCACUGCCCGGUAGCUAAAUGCGGAAGAGAUAAGUGCUGAAAGCAUCUAAGCACGAAACUUGCCCCGAGAUGAGUUCUCCCUGAGACUUUAGAUCUCCUGAAGGAACGUUGAAGACGACGACGUUGAUAGGCCGGGUGUGUAAGCGCAGCGAUGCGUUGAGCUAACCGGUACUAAUGAACCGUGAGGCUUAACCUU